ACUAAUUCCAACAAAAUAAUAAUAUUUUAAUAUAUCAUACACGUUAAAAAAUAAAUAUAUGAUAUAUUACAAUAAUCUACGUUAAAAAAUAAAUAGAAAACAAAAUAAUAAUAAUACUACAAUAUAAUACAGACAAAAUAAAAAUAAAAUAUAACGCUGUAUAAAUUUAAAGAGUAUUAUUUUAUAAAAAUCAAAAUUUCCGGUAUUUCCGCAAAAAAUUCUUAUUGAUUUGAAAUGCUUGAAAGUUAUACAAUAAUUUAUGUAUACAGUAAAAAAGUCAAAAGUGUAACAAUUAAUAAAUAAUUAAAGAAAAGUUGUUCACAGACAGAAAAAGAAAUAAAUAAAAAAAACUCACAUAGUAAAACCAAUAGAUCCCUCACUACGCACCGAAUCUAAAAUUAAGUGUAAUGUAGUAUUUUGUUUAUAAAAGUUUUACUAUUAAAUUUGAUUGAAUAUCGUACAUAUUCGUGCUUUUCAAAACGUGUAUAACCGAACUUCGUUUCGAAUCGCUUUUCGUUUGCAAUGGUUUAUCGUUGCUUACAGAUAUAAAUUUAAUAACUUUAUGUUCCUAUCUUUUAAAUUUUCCACCUAUAACUGCAUACAAUAUCAGCUUGUACAGGUUGUCCCACGAAGAUAUACCUAUUGUAAUAUUAUCUCCGGAGAUAAUAAAGAUAAAUAAAUUGUUUUUUUUUUUUUUUUAUAUUACUUACUGGGAUUAGGACUUCAACAUUUAUAUUGUAAUUAAUUUUUUAUGGUUUGGUAAAAGAUUAAAAAAAUUACUUUAUUUUAUUAUUUUAAAUUUUUUAUCAAAGC